UACGGGGGGAGCAAGCGUUGUUCGGAUUUACUGGGCGUAAAGGGCGCGUAGGCGGCCACUGCAAGUCAGUUGUGAAAUCUCCGGGCUUAACUCGGAAAGGUCAACUGAUACUGCAGGGCUAGAGUGCAGAAGGGGCAACUGGAAUUCUCGGUGUAGCGGUGAAAUGCGUAGAUAUCGAGAGGAACACCUGCGGCGAAGGCGGGUUGCUGGGCUGACACUGACGCUGAAGCGCGAAAGCGUGGGGAGCAAACAGG
rnacentral:rRNA from 1 species